UACUCCUACGGGAGGCAGCAGUGGGGAAUAUUGCACAAUGGGCGCAAGCCUGAUGCAGCCAUGCCGCGUGUAUGAAGAAGGCCUUAGGGUUGUAAAGUACUUUCAGCGGGGAGGAAGGUGUUAAGAUUAAUACUCUUAGCAAUUGACGUUACCCGCAGAAGAAGCACCGGCUAACUCCGUGCCAGCAGCCGCGGUAAUA
rnacentral:rRNA from 1 species